UACUCUCUGUUCCCAGGGUGACCGUGGUGAGACUGGCCCUGCUGGCCCCCCUGGUGCUCCUGGUGCUCCUGGUGCUCCCGGCCCUGUUGGUCCUGCUGGCAAGAAUGGCGACCGUGGUGAGACUGGUCCUGCUGGUCCUGCUGGUCCCAUUGGCCCUGCUGGUGCCCGUGGUCCUGCUGGACCCCAAGGCCCCCGUGGUGACAAGGGUGAGACAGGCGAACAAGGUGACAGAGGCAUAAAGGGUCAUCGUGGCUUCUCUGGUCUCCAGGGUCCUCCUGGCUCUCCUGGCUCUCCUGGUGAACAAGGCCCCUCUGGAGCUUCUGGUCCUGCAGGUCCCCGGGGUCCCCCUGGCUCUGCUGGUUCUCCUGGCAAAGAUGGACUCAACGGUCUCCCUGGCCCCAUUGGUCCCCCUGGUCCUCGAGGUCGCACUGGCGAUAGUGGUCCUGCUGGUCCCCCCGGACCUCCUGGACCCCCUGGCCCUCCCGGUCCUCCCAGCGGUGGUUAUGACUUCAGCUUCCUGCCUCAGCCACCUCAAGAGAAGUCUCAAGAUGGUGGCCGUUACUACCGGGCCGAUGAUGCCAACGUGGUCCGUGACCGUGACCUUGAGGUGGACACUACCCUCAAGAGCCUGAGCCAGCAGAUUGAGAA
rnacentral:lncRNA from 1 species